UACGGAGGGGGCUAGCGUUGUUCGGAAUUACUGGGCGUAAAGCGCACGUAGGCGGCUUUGUAAGUUAGAGGUGAAAGCCCGGGGCUCAACUCCGGAAUUGCCUUUAAGACUGCAUCGCUAGAAUUGUGGAGAGGUAAGUGGAAUUCCGAGUGUAGAGGUGAAAUUCGUAGAUAUUCGGAAGAACACCAGUGGCGAAGGCGACUUACUGGACACAUAUUGACGCUGAGGUGCGAAAAGCGU
rnacentral:rRNA from 1 species